rnacentral:lncRNA from 1 species
UUCUAAAGUAAUUUACAUACAACCAGUACCCUCACAGUGGUUAUCCACUCUAGGAUGAUUAGUACAUUCAUAAGUCUCACAACACAAGGAACCUAAGCCACUUCGAUAUAGUGCAUUGACGCUAUUGCUAUGGCUAUUAAACAAUUCCAGCACCUGAUUCUCGCAGCUAAAAAAGAGGAUGGCAGUAAUAUUGUUUAUAUCAAAAGAGGAUGCCACAUUAAAAUGCUAAAACAUGGACAAGAGUUCCCAUCCCAUACUGGGUUACAUUUUCUAAAUAUUUCUCUAUGAGCAAGAAUAAAUAAUACUAAGAAACUUCAAAAGGUUCAACGCAUGAAUAUUACAUCAUUUUGUUCUUUUCCCACCAUAAGGCUACAAAUGCAAACUUAAGAUUGAAGGAAACCGCAUCCAGAUUCUAAUGAAGGGGAGUCACUUCAGCCUCGCAACCACAAGCGAAUCACGAACAAUUGAUCAAUACUGGACGUACAAGUUAUCUUCUAUGGCCAACUUCCAACUGCAAAAAAAAGGGGGAAAAAGAAAAGCAUAUGCACAAAACAAUAGAACAACACUAACAAGCUCAAAGCAGUUAAAUUAUGUUGAGGAUGAAACAAAUACACAAUCUGAUCCAGCUAUCCAAUAAUUCCCAAAUACGGUUAAGGGUCGUAAGUGCAUACCUACAACAAGCACUUAUAACUUUGUCAUCCUUAUGCUGAUACAGGAAUGUUGAGGAUCACUUGAAUAAACUCACUGCUCCAGAAUCUGCAUACGUUAUGGGACCUUAUUCAUUAAUAAAAAUGAUUAGUAAAACGUACAAAGAAUAAGAAAUGUUAAAUCAAUGAAUGAAGAGAACAAUCAGGAAGAAAUUCAAAGAGGCACAAUUAAAGUGUCAUUGGCAGCAAAAACACAUGGUAAAUAGCAGAGACAUCAAAGAAUGGAAUAUUCAGUUACAAACAGCCAUAAAUAAGGCAAUUAUUGAGCAAUUGAAACAGUGGUAAGCUGCCUGAGACCAACUCAGCAGACCCAGGAAUAUGUCAUCAGUUACGUGUGCAUUUAAUCCGCAUGAAUGAGUCAGUUUCUAAACACAAAAGUCAGUAUUAGUCCUGACUCUCAAUAGGCAACCCAGGAGACCCAGAAGGUUGGCUAUAAAAGGCAUACUAUGUCAUAAGCAGAACACACAGAGGUCCUACCAAAAAUAUUCAUAAGCUAUCUACCAUAAACACACAUAAGAAGAAAAAUAAAGAACGGAGAAAAUACUUGAGUAUUCAUAUUAACAUACCACACACCACAACACAGAGAAGUAAUCAGAGGUAACAACACAGCCAUAAGAAAAUCAGAGAGAAGACAAGAAAACCAGAAAAACAUACAUUGCAACGGGGGCCAAAAAAAAAGAGGAACAAUCAGCGAGAACAAUUAUCAUACACAGUCAGAGAGGAGAACACAUACAUAUCACACAUAUAUUGUGAAAUCAGCAUACCACAACCAUACACACCAUAUAACAACUAGAGAGCAAUCCCUGCAUAUACACAUAACAACUCAGAGAAUACGUAAUAUGCUGAAGUAGGCAGAAAUCAUAUAACACGUGCAUCACACAAAUUCAGGAAUAGAUACACACGGAGACGUUGCUCAGCAGAAUCAGAGGGAUAGUUCAGAGAUAAUACGGUAAAACGAUUCAGCCAAAUCGAAUUGCUACCUAAGGUUAGUAUUAAAAUCCAUAUUCGACUUCAUAAUUUUAAUGGAUUGGUGUGUUAAUGUCAUUAUUUUUUUACUGUUCCUGCACUUAAAAAAUCAGCAUACAACAUAUAUUUUAUGGUAUAAUGUCUCCUCUUGGUUGUAAUAGCCUUAUGCGACACUAUUGGCACACCCAAAUAUUAAAGUGACCUGCCCAUGUGUCCUUACGGAACCUCUUGUCUAACCAUUUGUCCCUGCCUCCUGGGUUACGUUUGUCUGACAUGUUACAGCUAAUUAUCAAUAGUUCGAAACUAAAAUAGUAAUCAAACAAGACUGUACAUCAUCAUUUUAAUAAUGCACAUAGGUUUGUGUAAUUAAAUCAGAAUGCGAUUAAACAAAAAAUGAGGUAGAUCGUUAAAGCGAUAAUAAUGGAAGCAAUGCAUCGCAGUGACCUUAAACCAAAAUAAUACAAUUCAUUUCCAGAUUAACAUCAACCCGUAUACGUUUUUUAUAUGCAUCUCAUCAAUCAAGAAUAACAUGCUAUAAAAGAAACGUAAAUAUCAAUAUGAGGGAUAUGGUCCCUUACCGAUUUCCCGCGGAUCUAUGAUUCCAUGAUUGAGGGAUAGGUCCCAAAACCUAAUCAAGCAUGUGAAGUGAUGUAAUGGGUCUCAGGGGCAUCGUGUUCCCUCUUGGACAGAGACUCAUCUUGUUGCAUUGUGAGAAGGGAAGCCUCGAAUCGGAAAGCCAUCGCAAACCACCACCGCUAUUGGACCACCGUGAACCACCAUAAACCGCCCCCAUCAGAACCUUCGGCUAUCACCGUGGAUCCCUCCAUUCCCACGUCUGGACCGUCGGCACCGAGGAAGAAGACGGAUUCCACCUAUUGGGCCACCGCGUGGGAGAAGAUGAGGAUGAGGGUUUUUCACCUCCUGGGAUUAAUCCCCAUUUCUCUUCCUUGUUUUUUU